AGGACGAACGCUGGCGGCGUGCUUAACACAUGCAAGUCGAGCGGAGAGGCCCUUCGGGGUACUCGAGCGGCGAACGGGUGAGUAACACGUGAGUAAUCUGCCCAUCGCUUCAGGAUAGCCAUCGGAAACGGUGAUUAAUACUGGAUAUGACAUUCCUUCGCAUGUUGGGGUGUGGAAAGUUUUUUCGGCGGUGGAUGUGCUCGCGGCCUAUCAGCUUGUUGGUGGGGUAAUGGCCUACCAAGGUCUUUGGACGGGUAGCCGGCCUGAGAGGGUGACCGGCCACACUGGGACUGAGACACGGCCCAGACUACCGUACGGGAGGCAGCGAGUGGGGAAUAGUUGGACAAGUGGGACGGAA
rnacentral:rRNA from 1 species